rnacentral:lncRNA from 1 species
UCAGUGCUCGCUACUUAAACAGUAGCACAUGCGCACUCACAUUUCACCUCUGCAAUUAUUGCCACAUUUUCAGCCGGACCGGUUAAUUUCGAAAUCUCUCUUGUUAGACAUCGCUCUUAUUUUGAAACUGAAUCUAAUCUUGUGUGGCUUUGACUAUAAUGGAGCAUAUUUACUCGAUUAAUAUACCAUUUGUUUCUAAUGUUAAAAAAAAAGAUAAUCUGGAAUUUUCAGUUGUAUUGAUGAAAUACCUAAUAAACACAAGAAUAUAAGACUGGAUAAUGGUAAAAAAAAAAUACAAUGAAAAUGUACACUGACGUUUUAUUUAGGCAUCUUUGGAAAUUGUAGCAAAGGAAUUCACACGGAGAUACGUUCUGUCGGAAGAAGGGCAGUUGCGUGUCUGUUUUCCUUUUCUGUAGCGAUAAUGGUAUUCUAUUGCCUCUGGAACCGAAGAUGAAACUUGCAGAACUUUUUAUAUCCAUUGCAGUAGAAAUAAAAAAUAUACAUAUAAACUCGACACUUAUUCUAGAUCAUGAUUUAGUUGUUUUUAGAAUUAUGAGGUACGGUUUAAGAUUAUUCAUUGCUAACUAUGAUCACAUUGCAUUUUUCUCCGCGUCUAUUCUCGAUAUUUUGUAUGUGUACGAUUACAUAAUUGAGGGCCACGAAAUUCUUCAUGCGCACCAUGAUGUCUUAUCACGUUGCUAUGUAAACAAAGAAGUCACGUGAACACCUCAUUGUGUUCCUGUUGUAUUUCCUAACGCAGUUUUAUUGUUCAUUAAACUCGGGCACUAUUUUCACGUGCAGUUUUUCCCCCCAA